AUACGGAGAUGGCAACCGUUGUUCGGAAUCACUGGGCUUAAAGAGCACGUAGGCGGGAUAAUAAGUUGAUUGUGAAAUCCCAUGGCUUACCCAUGGAACUGCAGUCAAAACUGUUUUUCUUGAGUACAGAAGGGGAGAGUGGAAUUCCUAGUGGAGCGGUGAAAUGCGUUGAUAUUAGGAGGAACGCCGGUGGCGAAAGCGACUCUCUGGUCUGUGUCUGACGCUGAGGUGCGAAAGCCAGGGGAGCAAACGGGAUUAGAAACCCCGGUAGUCC
rnacentral:rRNA from 1 species